AGCCCCGUGGUGUAGUGGACUAGCAUAAGAGGCUUUGACCCUCUCGACCCCAGUUCAAAUCUGGGCGGGGCUG
rnacentral:tRNA from 1 species